CCUGCACGUGGCAGCGCCGGUCAUCCCACGCCGCUCCCUUCCCUGCCCGCAGCUCUCCCACACUCGAGGCUAUGGAAUCCUGACUAUUGCACUGGCAAGGGGCCUUUUCAAGAGAAAGCAGGGGGACAGACACUUCAGAGCUGCUGUCCUGCUCCUGACUCCAUGGGCACACCUUUCUGGGGCUGAGUGAUCAUCUAAGUCAACGGAAUGACCAAAUCCCACAUAAUCUGUUUGUUCAAUAACCCGAUCUGGACAAGGAAAAUCAAAGUUUUAGAGCAAACUUUUGGGCACAAUCCAGCCCAAACAUGCAUCAAUAAACCCUUCCCCCUGCUUUUCCUUUCUUGAUGUGCAUUCAGCACUCAGCAGUACCUUAGAAACAUCUCACUAUCUGCCUAUGCUCAAAAGGACAAAAAACAACAACAAAAGGAAAUAUAUAGAGGGAUGACUUAAGAGAGUUUGGAAAUUGCUUCCCAUACGAAACACUCCUUUAGUCACAGGCACAAAAAAACAUCAAAAUUCCCUGCCUCUAAUGUAAACAACAGAAAGAAAAAGUCAUCUGGAAGGACAAGAUGAUUCAUACUGAGGACCUGACUCGUAAUAUUCAUCUGUGUUGAAAUUGCCUCUGCAAGAUGACUGCAUGUGAAAGCAGCACCAGCGAAAUCCCAGCUUCUGCCACGAGAAGUAUCAUUAGCGGCGAAGUGGUGUGGUGAGACUCCAGUGGCACAACCCUUGCUCGGGUGAGUAAUCGUGAGCCAUCCGACCAGUCCCAGCUAAAACAGCACUGUCAUUCAGGUAAAACUGCUUUACGUAAGGGCACCUGCAGCAGACUGGAGCACGCUCAGGCUUUGCAGCCCUCUUCAACUGCAAAAUAGAAGGGUUUUUUCUUGGCCUUGCAAAAAUUCCUGCUGAGGGCUUCCUUAUAAAGAUGCUGCUCAAGCUGAAUGCUUGAGGAAGACUGGAAAAUUUGGCCAGUCUUUUCCUUUAUGUUAAUUGCCCUGAGCCAAGCAGUAACAGGGCAAAAAAGGCCAUGCUGACUUUAUGCAUUGUUAGGAGAUACCUUCCCCUGCACAUUUGAAUCUGUUUACUUAAUCUUCCAGGCCUUUACCCAUGAAUAUUAAAUUCCUUGAUCACUAUGCAUUAGGAGUCAUCUUCACACCAUCUGUUUGUAUUUGUCAUCUAACCCUUGUAAAUAAUAAAAUGUACUUUUUGUUCUCAAGUUCAUGGAUCCUAGCAGGAGAGCAAUUACUGUUGAGGAAAAGUACUGUGUGAAACUACUGGCAGUGACAGGACUCUUCUUUAGCCCCCCAUCUUGCCUCUAUACAGUAAUUAAAUGAAGGCCAGGAUCUGGCCCAAAGAGCGAUGCUUAGCUUCCAUGGUUUCUUUGAAGGGCCAGAAGAGAUGAUGGAGGGCUCUACAUCUCUGAAAGUGAUGCAGGCACUCUUGCCUAUGCUUCUAAAAGAAGGCAAUGUCAGAAGAGAAGGCUGCACUUCAGGGGAGCAGCCUUUCUGAGAGGCAUGCCAACAAGAACUGGCUGCUCUGCUCAGGCAAAAAUGUAACUGGGGUUGGCAGGAAUGGCUGUGGCUGUUUAACGGGGUGGCCUGGGUAGCUGGCCUGGGCAAAUUUCCGAAGAGGUACUGGCAGGGAAGAAACAUCUGAGGAAGAAACAGGUAAAUGAGCAGAUACACAGUGUUUCUCUCACACCUGGGAGUGCCAUUAAAGCAGUGAAAUUGUCACCCAUCAGCUGAGAGGUAAAGUUCAGAGAAGGCUAGGCAAAUAUCAAGGGAAACAGUGAUAAAGUGCAGUUGUUACAAUAUGAAAUUAAUCCUUAGAGGGAGCCCUGCCUGAAAAUGUGAUUAGAUCAUGCAAUGAGAACAGCCUUGACACACAUUACCAAGGUUCAAUUUCAACUUUAUCAGCACAGAUAAAUGUGUGCAUCCCUAGGACAGCAGACCCAUGAGUAAGAAAAAACAUGUGUCAUGGUUGAAGACCUCUGUGGACAACAAAAGCUGGCUGGUGAGCACACCUCAUGGGCACAGUGCCUUGGGGAGCCAGUCAGAGACAUACUUUGCAGCACACUCACGAUGAUUUACAUCCCCUAAGGAUUUGUCUCUCUGUGCUCCUAUAAAUUAUCCUAUACGCCAGGCAACUAUCAAUAAGCACUCAAAUUGUUACCGUCUAGUUAAAACCUAAUGUAGUUGGUUAAAGAAGGGAUCAUUUAGGAGAUUAAAUGGAAUCAUAUUAUUUUUAUCUGACAUGUUGGUAGCAACAAAUUUAGGCAAGAGAAUGGUUGUCAAAUAUUUGUUUAACUGGAAGAGUUAUCUGGGCUUGGACAAGAUACCACUUGCCACUGUGCUCAGCCUUGCAAACAUCCCACACCAGGAGGUUACCAAUUAAGUGAAAGACAAUAUAACUUGUUAAUUGUUAGAGCAUUAUGACCUUAGACUUUGCCCAGGUAUUUAAUAACACCAUCUGCUGUCUAGGUCUGCAAUACUAUUAUUUUUACAUGAGGAUUACUCUUCUUUCUCCACAAAAAAGGUUGCAAUAACAGUGCUAAAUGAGAGCAGAGCAGCAUGGUAUUUAAACCCAACUGUCCAGGUAAAGUAUACAGGAGGUACAGCUCACCCAAAAUAUCCCAGAUGCAUUGUCUUGAAGCUGGAAAUCUUGAUGUGCUGGAGGCUGAGGGCUUGUGAUCCAGCCUUGUGGACUGCACUUGGGAAAAACCUUGUCUUGCCUGAGAACAAGCUGAGAGUGAAAUGCACUCUGGUGCAGGCUGCCAGUCACUUUGCUCUUUCCGUCACUGUUGCUGUUUCCUUCACCAAAACAACAGCAAUGGUCCAAAGGCCACCAUUUGGGAAUCACUGUGCCUUCAGAUCUUUUUCUCUUUGAUAACAUGUUUUUAAAGCAUGUGCAUUUAACAUCAAAUAAUCACAUUUAUCAGGUUUUCCAAUCCUCUUCUUGCUGAUAGUGAUGUGAUUUUUUGCUUUGGCUUCUUAGGGAAUUUAGGGGAGGGAAGAAAAGAGUGAAUUUCUCUCAGCUGGUGUCUUCUGGCCGGUGUUUCCAUGGGAUUUCAUGUAAAGCCAUUCCCAGUGCACUGGAAACCUGAACCUACUGGAUUCGGUGACAAAAGUCCUAACAACUGAGAUGAGCCAGUUUCUCACUCUGGAAUGUUGUAAUUUUUGUGCAAAUAGUCUUUUCCUCCAAAUAAAGAGAAGCUGAAACCUGGUAGCUGGUGAGCUGCCAGAUGAAGGAGGAAGCAUUAGAGGUGUGAACACCAAAGUGCUCCAAAAAACAAGGCCAAGAGAAAGAGCCCAGAGUAUACUUUAAAUUUAAAAGUGCACAUUUGUAAUGUUUUGGGUUUUUUAAAUGUUUUUAUUUUGCUUACUGCUUAUUGGUGUAUGUUUGAGGAAUAAAACAAUCAUGAAUCCUCCACA